UGCAACAAUAUUUUUUUGAAAUGCAUGCAACGACAUGAUAAAAUAGUGCCAAGGUAUUUUGUUUCGUAACGUGUGCUACCGGAAGUGUUGCCUACGUGUUCUGCUGUUUCUACUUCAUGUAGUGGAGGUCAGGGGCGGUUUUGAGUCGCUAAUGCCAACAUAAGUACAGAUAGAAGUUUUGUCCCGUGUCCCUAUUUUGUACGUCAACUGACAACAUGAAGGAGCAUCAGUUAUCCAGGGCAAAACGUCUCACAAAACCAUUUCUCUUUGGAACACUGAUCGUGGGACUAGCCACAGCGUUCUUCAAUAGACACCUGUUCUUUGAAGACCUGGCAAACCUCCGAGCUGAAGAGAGGGCUCGUAACAAUGCCAAACUUCAGGAAGUGCUGGAGAGAAGAUACCGCCAGAUGGAGGAGUUAGCUGAGAAAAAGACUGUUGGAGGAAAGGAACACUGAAAAACCAGAGAUUAUAGUAAAGGACUGCCUCUGGAUAGGUUGGGACAUUGCUUGAGAGAGUGUCCUUUCAAAUAACAAACAAGAGAAACAAUAUGAAGGUCAUUGGGGUUUGACAGCCCUACGUGAAUGCAUUAGCAGUCUGCCAGCUGUGGUUAAUUAUAAAUGGUGAGGUGAUUUGUGUGAGCCUCUUAAACAAAUGAUAUUGUUCCACUGGUAGGAGCCAAGAGUUUAUUUUCAUCAAAAGAAGAAAUGUUUUGUGGCCUUAAAUGAUGGAUCACCUUUGAAGAUGGCAAGACACUGACACCCCACCAGCAUACAGCACAAGGUCUGCUAGUCCAUCUUAAGCAGGAAACAUCGUCCCAGAUGCGAUGCUCCUCAAUCCUGAGAAGAUGAAGAAUAGUAAAAGUCAUUCUUUUUGUUGGUUUGUUUGUUUGGCCUUGUGACCUGUGUGGGGAAAGGGACAUGGAAAUCGCCGAGGUGAAAGGUGAGAUGAACGUAAGGGAAGAACAGGAUGAAAAUGGAGGGAAAGUGCUGCCAAUAAACUCACCUGGGUUUAAUAAACACACAAAGUAAAUAGUACAUACUGUGAAGACAAUAAAGUUUUGAACUACA